UCCUGGCUCAGAUUGAACGCUGCGGCAUGCUUUACACAUGCAAGUCGAACGGUAACAGGGAGCUUGCUCCGCUGACGAGUGGCGAACGGGUGAGUAAUAUAUCGGAACGUACCCAAGAGUGGGGGAUAACGUAGCGAAAGUUACGCUAAUACCGCAUACGAUCUAAGGAUGAAAGCAGGGGAUCUUCGGACCUUGUGCUCCUGGAGCGGCCGAUAUCUGAUUAGCUAGUUGGUGAGGUAAAGGCUCACCAAGGCGACGAUCAGUAGCUGGUCUGAGAGGACGACCAGCCACACUGGAACUGAGACACGGUCCAGACUCCUACGGGAGGCAGCAGUGGGGAAUUUUGGACAAUGGGCGCAAGCCUGAUCCAGCAAUGCCGCGUGAGUGAAGAAGGCCUUCGGGUUGUAAAGCUCUUUUGUCAGGGAAGAAACGGGAGUGGCUAAUAUCCAUUCCUAAUGACGGUACCUGAAGAAUAAGCACCGGCUAACUACGUG
rnacentral:rRNA from 1 species